GACACAGUUUCUGGUGAGGAAUGAAAAAAAAAGAAAAGUUUAUGUCCAGAUCUUUUUUUUAAUUUUGGUUAAACCCAUGUGCUAUCCUAUGACCCCACCCUUACAUUGACAUGUUCUCCCUACCAUGACAAAGGUGGAAAGAUUUCAUGUAAUCCAUGGACACCAGUGAAGAUCACAAACCAUUGAAGAAAAAAGGUUCAGAGCACUGUCUAGUGGGUCAAGAUGACCCAACUCCCAAUGUUUAAGUGCCUAGGAUAGCACAAGGGUUUUUUUUUCACGGUAUGAAAUCUAUUACGAUUUUUGAAAAAAAAAAAAUAAUUUCAUUGGGGAUGAAAUAUUUUUGGGGCAGGGACCAAACAUUUUCCCACUGAAUUCUACAACCAAACCUAUGUUAUUUCUGUUAUAGUAUUAGAGAUAACAUGGGGUUUUGUGGCAAUCUCAUUUUAAAAACGUGCUUUUAUCAGUGCCAGCUGUAAAACUAUGGAAACUUCCAUACAAAACCUAUUUCCCCACAUCACAGUUCUGUUAAAGCAGUGCAAGUAUUUACCUUUCUCCCUUUUCCUGUUGGAGGACGGGGCGGGGCUUGUUACUAAGGGGACGAGCAAAGCCAAACGGUUCUUAUCUAUUAAAAAACUAUUUGUUUAUCUGUCGAUGACAGCGUCGUUAGUCGUUGCCGUUAGAGCCUGUGAUACACAAUGUCUUUCUUCGGUUUAACGAGGCUUGGCUAUCAGAACCCAAUAGGUGAAACCAUGAUACAUUUCCAGAGAGCGUCCCCCUCUGAAGAUGGUGUUCAAGUGACAACAGGGGUCGAUCCACCACUUGAAGAAAACGAAAGAACCUUUCCCACCUCAGCAACUUUAAAAAAUCCCAGCAUGCAUGAAAAGAGCAACAAGCCUUAUAGAGAGAUGGUCAGACAGGCUCGAUUUCCUGCAGCUCCAAAGGACUUGUACGUAAUGCCUCUGACAGGCAACCAGCAGUACGGAUGGAUGGUGUCGGACACUCCCAAACCAUGGACCAAAAUUAAUCGCUUUCCCCGAAGGAACAGCGACGUCUCAAAGUUUGUUGAACAAAUGUUAAUGACAGACCGGACGUUUUGCCCUUUUUGAUGAAGACAU
rnacentral:lncRNA from 1 species